rnacentral:tRNA from 1 species
GGCACGGUGGUGCAGUUGGUAGCACUGUCACCUCAUGAGCAAGAAGGUUCUGUUCAACUCCGGUGUCA